rnacentral:rRNA from 1 species
UACGUAGGGUGCGAGCGUUGUCCGGAAUUAUUGGGCGUAAAGAGCUCGUAGGCGGUCUGUCGCGUCGAUCGUGAAAACUUGGGGCUUAACCCUGAGCUUGCGGUCGAUACGGGCAUGACUGGAGUUCGGCAGGGGAGACUGGAAUUCCUGGUGUAGCGGUGAAAUGCGCAGAUAUCAGGAGGAACACCGGUGGCGAAGGCGGCUCUCUAGUACGGUACUGACGCUGAGACGCGAAAGCGUGGGGAGCGAACAGG